rnacentral:lncRNA from 1 species
GAAGAACUUAUAGGAUCUCUCAUGACUCAUGAGUUGAGUAUAAAUUAGAAUGCAGAAGAAGUGAAAAAUCAUUAUACUGAAAUCAUCUGCAUUGGAAGAGCUAGAAAGUAAUACAUCUGAAAAUUCAAACAAUGAAGAUGAAAUGGUAAUGAUUACUUAAAGAUUUAAGAGGUUCAUGAGAAGAAAAAAAAUUCUUUCCCAAAAGGAAAGGAUACACAAGACGAGGAGG